GCCUGUCCCAGUUCGGACUGGAGUCUGCAACCCGACUCCACGAAGUUGGAUUCGCUAGUAAUCGCGCAUCAGCCAUGGCGCGGUGAAUACGUUCCCGGGCCUUGUACACACCGCCCGUCAAGCCGUGGGAGCCGGGGGCGCCUGAAGUCCGGGACCGCGAGGACCGGCCUAGGGCGAAACUGGUAACUGGGGCUAAGUCGUAACAAGGUAUC
rnacentral:rRNA from 1 species